UUAAGCGACUAAGCGUACACGGUGGAUGCCCUGGCAGUCAGAGGCGAUGAAGGACGUGCUAAUCUGCGAUAAGCGUCGGUAAGGUGAUAUGAACCGUUAUAACCGGCGAUUUCCGAAUGGGGAAACCCAGUGUGAUUCGUCACACUAUCAUUAACUGAAUCCAUAGGUUAAUGAGGCGAACCGGGGGAACUGAAACAUCUAAGUACCCCGAGGAAAAGAAAUCAACCGAGAUUCCCCCAGUAGCGGCGAGCGAACGGGGAGCAGCCCAGAGCCUGAAUCAGUGUGUGUGUUAGUGGAAGCGUCUGGAAAGGCGCGCGAUACAGGGUGACAGCCCCGUACACAAAAAUGCACAUGCUGUGAGCUCGAUGAGUAGGGCGGGACACGUGGUAUCCUGUCUGAAUAUGGGGGGACCAUCCUCCAAGGCUAAAUACUCCUGACUGACCGAUAGUGAACCAGUACCGUGAGGGAAAGGCGAAAAGAACCCCGGCGAGGGGAGUGAAAAAGAACCUGAAACCGUGUACGUACAAGCAGUGGGAGCACGCUUAGGCGUGUGACUGCGUACCUUUUGUAUAAUGGGUCAGCGACUUAUAUUCUGUAGCAAGGUUAACCGAAUAGGGGAGCCGAAGGGAAACCGAGUCUUAACUGGGCGUUAAGUUGCAGGGUAUAGACCCGAAACCCGGUGAUCUAGCCAUGGGCAGGUUGAAGGUUGGGUAACACUAACUGGAGGACCGAACCGACUAAUGUUGAAAAAUUAGCGGAUGACUUGUGGCUGGGGGUGAAAGGCCAAUCAAACCGGGAGAUAGCUGGUUCUCCCCGAAAGCUAUUUAGGUAGCGCCUCGUGAAUUCAUCUCCGGGGGUAGAGCACUGUUUCGGCAAGGGGGUCAUCCCGACUUACCAACCCGAUGCAAACUGCGAAUACCGGAGAAUGUUAUCACGGGAGACACACGGCGGGUGCUAACGUCCGUCGUGAAGAGGGAAACAACCCAGACCGCCAGCUAAGGUCCCAAAGUCAUGGUUAAGUGGGAAACGAUGUGGGAAGGCCCAGACAGCCAGGAUGUUGGCUUAGAAGCAGCCAUCAUUUAAAGAAAGCGUAAUAGCUCACUGGUCGAGUCGGCCUGCGCGGAAGAUGUAACGGGGCUAAACCAUGCACCGAAGCUGCGGCAGCGACGCUUAUGCGUUGUUGGGUAGGGGAGCGUUCUGUAAGCCUGUGAAGGUGUACUGUGAGGUAUGCUGGAGGUAUCAGAAGUGCGAAUGCUGACAUAAGUAACGAUAAAGCGGGUGAAAAGCCCGCUCGCCGGAAGACCAAGGGUUCCUGUCCAACGUUAAUCGGGGCAGGGUGAGUCGACCCCUAAGGCGAGGCCGAAAGGCGUAGUCGAUGGGAAACAGGUUAAUAUUCCUGUACUUGGUGUUACUGCGAAGGGGGGACGGAGAAGGCUAUGUUGGCCGGGCGACGGUUGUCCCGGUUUAAGCGUGUAGGCUGGUUUUCCAGGCAAAUCCGGAAAAUCAAGGCUGAGGCGUGAUGACGAGGCACUACGGUGCUGAAGCAACAAAUGCCCUGCUUCCAGGAAAAGCCUCUAAGCAUCAGGUAACAUCAAAUCGUACCCCAAACCGACACAGGUGGUCAGGUAGAGAAUACCAAGGCGCUUGAGAGAACUCGGGUGAAGGAACUAGGCAAAAUGGUGCCGUAACUUCGGGAGAAGGCACGCUGAUAUGUAGGUGAAGCGACUUGCUCGUGGAGCUGAAAUCAGUCGAAGAUACCAGCUGGCUGCAACUGUUUAUUAAAAACACAGCACUGUGCAAACACGAAAGUGGACGUAUACGGUGUGACGCCUGCCCGGUGCCGGAAGGUUAAUUGAUGGGGUUAGCGCAAGCGAAGCUCUUGAUCGAAGCCCCGGUAAACGGCGGCCGUAACUAUAACGGUCCUAAGGUAGCGAAAUUCCUUGUCGGGUAAGUUCCGACCUGCACGAAUGGCGUAAUGAUGGCCAGGCUGUCUCCACCCGAGACUCAGUGAAAUUGAACUCGCUGUGAAGAUGCAGUGUACCCGCGGCAAGACGGAAAGACCCCGUGAACCUUUACUAUAGCUUGACACUGAACAUUGAGCCUUGAUGUGUAGGAUAGGUGGGAGGCUUUGAAGUGUGGACGCCAGUCUGCAUGGAGCCGACCUUGAAAUACCACCCUUUAAUGUUUGAUGUUCUAACGUGGACCCGUAAUCCGGGUUGCGGACAGUGUCUGGUGGGUAGUUUGACUGGGGCGGUCUCCUCCUAAAGAGUAACGGAGGAGCACGAAGGUUGGCUAAUCCUGGUCGGACAUCAGGAGGUUAGUGCAAUGGCAUAAGCCAGCUUGACUGCGAGCGUGACGGCGCGAGCAGGUGCGAAAGCAGGUCAUAGUGAUCCGGUGGUUCUGAAUGGAAGGGCCAUCGCUCAACGGAUAAAAGGUACUCCGGGGAUAACAGGCUGAUACCGCCCAAGAGUUCAUAUCGACGGCGGUGUUUGGCACCUCGAUGUCGGCUCAUCACAUCCUGGGGCUGAAGUAGGUCCCAAGGGUAUGGCUGUUCGCCAUUUAAAGUGGUACGCGAGCUGGGUUUAGAACGUCGUGAGACAGUUCGGUCCCUAUCUGCCGUGGGCGCUGGAGAACUGAGGGGGGCUGCUCCUAGUACGAGAGGACCGGAGUGGACGCAUCACUGGUGUUCGGGUUGUCAUGCCAAUGGCACUGCCCGGUAGCUAAAUGCGGAAGAGAUAAGUGCUGAAAGCAUCUAAGCACGAAACUUGCCCCGAGAUGAGUUCUCCCUGACUCCUUGAGAGUCCUGAAGGAACGUUGAAGACGACGACGUUGAUAGGCCGGGUGUGUAAGCGCAGCGAUGCGUUGAGCUAACCGGUACUAAUGAACCGUGAGGCUUAACCUU
rnacentral:rRNA from 1 species